UUGAAGAGUUUGAUCAUGGCUCAGAUUGAACGCUGGCGGCAGGCCUAACACAUGCAAGUCGAACGGUAGCACAGAGAGCUUGCUCUCGGGUGACGAGUGGCGGACGGGUGAGUAAUGUCUGGGAAACUGCCUGAUGGAGGGGGAUAACUACUGGAAACGGUAGCUAAUACCGCAUAAUGUCGCAAGACCAAAGAGGGGGACCUUCGGGCCUCUUGCCAUCAGAUGUGCCCAGAUGGGAUUAGCUAGUAGGUGGGGUAACGGCUCACCUAGGCGACGAUCCCUAGCUGGUCUGAGAGGAUGACCAGCCACACUGGAACUGAGACACGGUCCAGACUCCUACGGGAGGCAGCAGUGGGGAAUAUUGCACAAUGGGCGCAAGCCUGAUGCAGCCAUGCCGCGUGUAUGAAGAAGGCCUUCGGGUUGUAAAGUACUUUCAGCGGGGAGGAAGGUGUUGUGGUUAAUAACCACAGCAAUUGACGUUACCCGCAGAAGAAGCACCGGCUAACUCCGUGCCAGCAGCCGCGGUAAUACGGAGGGUGCAAGCGUUAAUCGGAAUUACUGGGCGUAAAGCGCACGCAGGCGGUCUGUCAAGUCGGAUGUGAAAUCCCCGGGCUCAACCUGGGAACUGCAUUCGAAACUGGCAGGCUAGAGUCUUGUAGAGGGGGGUAGAAUUCCAGGUGUAGCGGUGAAAUGCGUAGAGAUCUGGAGGAAUACCGGUGGCGAAGGCGGCCCCCUGGACAAAGACUGACGCUCAGGUGCGAAAGCGUGGGGAGCAAACAGGAUUAGAUACCCUGGUAGUCCACGCCGUAAACGAUGUCGAUUUGGAGGUUGUGCCCUUGAGGCGUGGCUUCCGGAGCUAACGCGUUAAAUCGACCGCCUGGGGAGUACGGCCGCAAGGUUAAAACUCAAAUGAAUUGACGGGGGCCCGCACAAGCGGUGGAGCAUGUGGUUUAAUUCGAUGCAACGCGAAGAACCUUACCUGGUCUUGACAUCCACAGAACUUUCCAGAGAUGGAUUGGUGCCUUCGGGAACUGUGAGACAGGUGCUGCAUGGCUGUCGUCAGCUCGUGUUGUGAAAUGUUGGGUUAAGUCCCGCAACGAGCGCAACCCUUAUCCUUUGUUGCCAGCGGUCCGGCCGGGAACUCAAAGGAGACUGCCAGUGAUAAACUGGAGGAAGGUGGGGAUGACGUCAAGUCAUCAUGGCCCUUACGACCAGGGCUACACACGUGCUACAAUGGCGCAUACAAAGAGAAGCGACCUCGCGAGAGCAAGCGGACCUCAUAAAGUGCGUCGUAGUCCGGAUUGGAGUCUGCAACUCGACUCCAUGAAGUCGGAAUCGCUAGUAAUCGUAGAUCAGAAUGCUACGGUGAAUACGUUCCCGGGCCUUGUACACACCGCCCGUCACACCAUGGGAGUGGGUUGCAAAAGAAGUAGGUAGCUUAACCUUCGGGAGGGCGCUUACCACUUUGUGAUUCAUGACUGGGGUGAAGUCGUAACAAGGUAACCGUAGGGGAACCUGCGGUUGGAUCACCUCCUU
rnacentral:rRNA from 1 species